rnacentral:rRNA from 1 species
ACGGAGGGUGCAAGCGUUACUCGGAAUCACUGGGCGUAAAGCGCGCGCAGGCGGCCUUUUAAGUUGGAUGUGAAAGCCUACGGCUCAACCGUAGAACUGCAUCCAAAACUAUCAGGCUAGAGUGUGGGAGAGGAAGAUGGAAUUAGUUGUGUAGGGGUAAAAUCCGUAGAGAUAACUAGGAAUACCAAAAGCGAAGGCAAUCUUCUGGAACAUUACUGACGCUGAGGCGCGAAAGCGUGGGGAGCAAACAGG